UACGUAGGGGGCAAGCGUUGUCCGGAAUCAUUGGGCGUAAAGCGCGUGUAGGCGGUUCAGUAAGUCUGCUGUGAAAGUCCAGGGCUCAACCCUGGGAUGCCGGUGGAUACUGCUGGGCUAGAAUCCGGAAGAGGCGAGUGGAAUUCCUGGUGUAGCGGUGAAAUGCGCAGAUAUCAGGAAGAACACCCGUGGCGAAGGCGGCUCUCUGGAACGCAACUGACGCUGAGACGCGAAAGCGUGGGGAGCAAACAGG
rnacentral:rRNA from 1 species